rnacentral:rRNA from 1 species
GAUGAACGCUAGCGGCAGGCCUAAUACAUGCAAGUCGGACGGGAUUCAGGAGCUUGCUUCUGAUGAGAGUGGCGCACGGGUGCGUAACACGUAUGUAACCUACCUUUAUCAGGGGGAUAGCCUCUCGAAAGAGAGAUUAAGCCCGCAUAAAAUCACAGCACAGCAUUGUGUAAUGAUCAAAUAUUUAUAGGAUAAAGAUGGGCAUGCGGAACAUUAGCUAGAUGGCGGGGUAACGGCCCACCAUGGCGACGAUGUUUAGGGGAUCUGAGAGGAUGGCCCCCCCCACUGUACCGGAGCCCCGGCCAAGCCCCCACCGGGGGGCAGCCGAAGGGAAAUUUGGUCAAGGGGCGGAGGCCUGACCCCGCCAUCCCGCUGGCGGGAAGCCGGCCCUGCGAGUUGUAACCUGCUUUUAUACGGGAAUAAACCCAGAUACGUUUAUUUGGCUGAAUGUACUUAAAAAAUAAGAAUCGGCUACCCCCGU